rnacentral:rRNA from 1 species
GCACGGAGUUAGCCGGGGCUUCCUCCGGUGGUACAGUCAGGAGUGGAGGAUAUUAGCCCCCACCCGAUUCUUCCCACCUGACAGCCGAAGGCCUUCAUCACCCACGCGGCGUUGCUGCGUCAGGCUUUCGCCCAUUGCGCAAGAUUCCUCACUGCUGCCUCCCGUAGGAGUCUGGACCGUGUCUCAGUUCCAAUGUGGCCGAUCGCCCUCUCAGGCCGGCUACCCAUCGUCGCCUUGGUGGGCCAUUACCCCGCCAACUAGCUAAUGGGCCGCGGGCCCCUCCUCAAGUGAUAGCUUGCAAGCAUUGGCCAUCUUUGGUUCCCAGUCCCGAAGAACCGGGAGCUUUAUCCGGUAUUAGCCCACCUUUCGGCGGGUUAUUCCGAACUCGAGGGCAGGUUACCCACGUGUUACUCACCCGUUCGCCACUUUACCGGGGGUAUUGCUACCCCUUUCUCGUUCGACUUGCAUGUGUUAAGCACGCCGCCAGCGUUCGUU